rnacentral:rRNA from 1 species
GUCCACACCGUAAACGAUGGAUACUAGGUGUCCGGGACUUCGGUCCUGGGUGCCCAAGGGAAACCGAUAAGUAUCCCACCUGGGGAGUACGUCCGCAAGGAUGAAACUCAAAGGAAUUGACGGGGGCCCGCACAAGCGGUGGAGCAUGUGGUUUAAUUCGAUGAUACGCGAGGAACCUUACCUGGGCUAGAAUGCCCUCGACCGGCCGUGAAAGCGGUUUUCCCUUCGGGGCGAGGUGCAAGGUGCUGCAUGGUUGUCGU